GGACUAGAGCCCUACUAUCAACACCCAAAGCUGAAGUUCUAUUUAAACUAUUCCCUG
rnacentral:tRNA from 3 species